rnacentral:lncRNA from 1 species
GGAGGGGGAGGCAGAGGAGGAGGCAGAGGUGGAGGAGGAGGAGGAGGCAGAGGUGGAGGAGGAGGAGGAGGCAGAGGAGGAGGGGGAGGCAGAGGAGGAGGCGGAGGUGGAGGAGGAGGGGGAGGAGGAGGAGAAGGAAAAGAGAAAAGCUCCCGGGCCGUUGCACAGGCAGUAGGGAAAAGCGAAAGGGCACCAUUCAAUCCAACAAGCCAGACAGUGGCCACACAGCAGGGGCCAGUAGGCAGCCCCCGGGAGCUGAGAACAGCUCCUGCUGGCCCUCGGUCCUACAAGCACCAGGACAUGACUUCUGCUAGCAAUCGCAUGAGGUGGAAAGCAAUCCUUCCCCAGUCCAGCCCCCAGAUGAGAACACAGCGGCCGACCUGAGCUGAGGACCCAGCUAAGCCUGGCCUUCUGGCCCACAGAAGCCUUGAGAUAACAGGCGGACGUCGUUUUAGGACACCCAGUUUGCGGUACGUAGGGAACUAACACGCGGGGCUCUGGCGGGCCUGGCGGCGUAGUGCGAUCUAG